UACAGAGGGUGCGAGCGUUGUUCGGAAUUAUUGGGCGUAAAGGGCGCGUAGGCGGUGCGGUAAGUCACCUGUGAAAUCUCCUGGCUCAACUGGGAGCUUGCAGGCGAAACUGCCGUGCUGGAGUGUGGGAGAGGUGCGUGGAAUUCCUGGUGUAGCGGUGAAAUGCGCAGAUAUCGGGAGGAACACCGGUGGCGAAGGCGGUUCUCUGGGCCUGACCUGACGCUGAGGAGCGAAAGCGUGGGGAGCGAACAGG
rnacentral:rRNA from 1 species